rnacentral:rRNA from 1 species
CACCUUCGGGUGUGAAUUAGCGGCGAACGGGUGAGGAACACGUGAGAAAUCUGCCUUCAACACUGGGAUAACUCCGGGAAACCGGGGCUAAUACCGGAUAUGAAAUCUGCGGGCAUCCGCGGAUUUGGAAAGUUUUUCGGUUGAAGAUGAUCUCGCGGCCUAUCAGCUUGUUGGUGAGGUAAUGGCUCACCAAGGCGACGACGGGUAGCCGGCCUGAGAGGGCGACCGGCCACACUGGGACUGAGACACGGCCCAGACUCCUACGGGAGGCAGCAGUGGGGAAUAUUGGGCAAUGGAGGAAACUCUGACCCAGCGACGCCGCGUGCGGGAUGAAGGCCUUCGGGUUGUAAACCGCUUUCAGCAGGGAAGAAGCGAAAGUGACGGUACCUGCAGAAGAAGCACCGGCUAACUAUGUGCCAGCAGCCGCGGUAAUACAUAGGGUGCAAGCGUUGUCCGGAAUUAUUGGGCGUAAAGAGCUCGUAGGUGGUUCGUCACG